rnacentral:lncRNA from 1 species
AAAACAAGAGUGAAUUGAAAAAGUAUAAAGGGUACUUUUGAGACUGAAAAAUUCUUGAACAUAGAAGCGACUUUUGUUAAAUAUGGUAAAUCUUGAUUAUGGUGUAACCCAAUAGACUGAAAAGGGAGUAUGAAAAUAGAAAGAUGAGCACAUGAUAGAGUUUGAAAAGUAAUCGAAGUAUAAAGUUGGCCUAGAUUUAAAUAAGAACAAUUACUCCCGACACCAACUUCUUUUCUCAUAUUUAAUUACAA